UCUACGGGAGGCAGCAGUAGGGAAUUUUGCGCAAUGGGCGAAAGCCUGACGCAGCAACACCGCGUGAAUGUUAAGCCCUUCGGGGUGUAAAGGUCUGUCAAUCGGGACGAAUUUUGACUGUACCUGUAAAGGCAGCACCGGCUAACUCCGUGCCAGCAGCCGCGGUAAUACGGGGGGUGCAAGCGUUGGCCGGAUUCAUUGGGCGUAAAGCGUUCGUAGGCGGCAAGGUAAGUCUGACGUUAAAGCCGGGGGCUCAACCCCGGUUCGGCAUUGGAUACUAUCUGGCUAGAAUGUAGUAGAGGUAAGUGGAAUUCCUGGUGUAGCGGUGAAAUGCGUAGAUAUCAGGAGGAACAUCGGUGGCGAAAGCGCUUUACUGGACCAUUAUUGACGCUGAGGAACGAAAGCCAGGGGAGCAAAUGGGAUUAGAUGCCCGAGUAGUC
rnacentral:rRNA from 1 species